rnacentral:misc_RNA from 1 species
UCCGGCUUAACGCCGGCAGUCUACCUAGAGUGCCCAACUUAAUGGUGGCAACUAAGUACGAGGGUUGCGCUCGUUGCAGGACUUAACCCAACAUCUCACGACACGAGCUGACGGCAGCCAUGCAGCACCUGUGUUCCCGUUCCCUUUCGGGCACACCCGGCUUUCACCGGGCUCCAGGACAUGUCAAGGGUAGGUAAGGUUUUUCGCGUUGCAUCGAAUUAAUCCACAUAAUCCACCGCUUGUGCGGGUCCCCGUCAAUUCCUUUGAGUUUCAACCUUGCGGUCGUACUCCCCAGGCGGGGUACUUCCUGCGUUAGCGCCGGCACCCAGAGGGUCGCUCCCCCAGGCACCUAGUACCCAUCGUUUACGGCGUGGACUAC